GACGAACGCUGGCGGCGUGCUUAACACAUGCAAGUCGAACGAUGAACCCGGAGCUUGCUCUGGGGGAUUAGUGGCGAACGGGUGAGUAACACGUGAGUAACCUGCCCUGGACUCUGGGAUAAGCGUUGGAAACGACGUCUAAUACCGGAUAGGACCUUGGAUCGCAUGAUCUGGGGUGGAAAGUUUUUUCGGUCUGGGAUGGACUCGCGGCCUAUCAGCUUGUUGGUGAGGUAAUGGCUCACCAAGGCGUCGACGGGUAGCCGGCCUGAGAGGGUGACCGGCCACACUGGGACUGAGACACGGCCCAGACUCCUACGGGAGGCAGCAGUGGGGAAUAUUGCACAAUGGGCGAAAGCCUGAUGCAGCAACGCCGCGUGCGGGAUGACGGCCUUCGGGUUGUAAACCGCUUUUAGUAGGGAAGAAGGGCUUCGGCUUGACGGUACCUGCAGAAAAAGGACCGGCUAACUAC
rnacentral:rRNA from 1 species